rnacentral:rRNA from 1 species
CGAAUGGGGAAACCCCGCCGCGUGUUAUGCGUGGUGACCCGCACCUGAAUUCAUAGGGUGUGUGGAGGGAACGUGGGGAAGUGAAACAUCUCAGUACCCACAGGAAGAGAAAACAACAGUGAUUCCGUCAGUAGUGGCGAGCGAACGCGGAAGAGGCCAAACCGAUGGUGUGUGAUACCCGGCAGGGGUUGCAUCAUCGGGGUCGUGGGGCGUGUCGUCCCGGGUCUGCCGGCCCGGGCGUGUGAGUGCAGGGCGAUAGUCGAACCGGUGUGAGUGCCGGACCGGAGAGGGUGAGAGUCCCGUAGACGAAAUCGUUGCUGCCGCACGGUACGCGUACCCAAGUAGCACGGGGCCCGAGAAAUCCCGUGUGAAUCUGCCAGGACCACCUGGUAAGCCUAAAUACUACCUGAUGACCGAUAGCGGACCAGUACCGUGAGGGAAAGGUGAAAAGUACCCCGGGAGGGGAGUGAAAUAGUACCUGAAACCGUGUGCCUACAAACCGUCGGAGCCCUACAAGGUGACGGCGUGCCUUUUGAAGAAUGAGCCUGCGAGUUAGUGUUACGUCGCGAGGUUAACCCGUGAGGGGUAUCCGUAGCGAAAGCGAGUCUGAACAGGGCGAGUGAGUGGCGUGAUCUAGACCCGAAGCGAAGUGAUCUACCCAUGGCCAGGUUGAAGCGCGUGUAAGAGCGCGUGGAGGACCGAACCCACUUCAGUUGAAAAUGGAGGGGAUGAGCUGUGGGUAGGGGUGAAAGGCCAAUCAAACUUCGUGAUAGCUGGUUCUCCCCGAAAUGCAUUUAGGUGCAGCGUUA